GAUGAACGCUGGCGGCGUGCCUAAUACAUGCAAGUCGAGCGAAUGGAUUGAGAGCUUGCUCUCAAGAAGUUAGCGGCGGACGGGUGAGUAACACGUGGGUAACCUGCCCAUAAGACUGGGAUAACUCCGGGAAACCGGGGCUAAUACCGGAUAACAUUUUGAACUGCAUGGUUCGAAAUUGAAAGGCGGCUUCGGCUGUCACUUAUGGAUGGACCCGCGUCGCAUUAGCUAGUUGGUGAGGUAACGGCUCACCAAGGCAACGAUGCGUAGCCGACCUGAGAGGGUGAUCGGCCACACUGGGACUGAGACACGGCCCAGACUCCUACGGGAGGCAGCAGUAGGGAAUCUUCCGCAAUGGACGAAAGUCUGACGGAGCAACGCCGCGUGAGUGAUGAAGGCUUUCGGGUCGUAAAACUCUGUUGUUAGGGAAGAACAAGUGCUAGUUGAAUAAGCUGGCACCUUGACGGUACCUAACCAGAAAGCCACGGCUAACUACGUGCCAGCAGCCGCGGUAAUACGUAGGUGGCAAGCGUUAUCCGGAAUUAUUGGGCGUAAAGCGCGCGCAGGUGGUUUCUUAAGUCUGAUGUGAAAGCCCACGGCUCAACCGUGGAGGGUCAUUGGAAACUGGGGGACUUGAGUAC
rnacentral:rRNA from 1 species